UGCAAGUCGAACGAGAACGGGUAUAAGUUUACUUAUACUGUCAGCUAAGUGGCGCACGGGUGAGUAAUAUAUAGUUAAUUUGCCAGAAAGUUGGGGAUAAUUGUUGGAAACGACUUGUAAUACCCUAUAUGCCUUUAUUACAUAAGUAAGCAAGGGAAAGCCCAUUUUAUUAUGGACGCUUUUUGAUAAGACUGUACGGUAUCAGUUAGUUGGUGAGGUAAUGGCUCACCAAGACAAUGACACCUAACUGGUUUGAGAGGAUGAUCAGUCACACUGGAACUGAGACACGGUCCAGACUCCUACGGGAGGCAGCAGUGGGGAAUAUUGCACAAUGGACGAAAGUCUGAUGCAGCAACGCCGCGUGGAGGAUGACACAUUUCGGUGCGUAAACUCCUUUUAUAUGAGAAGAUAAUGACGGUAUCAUAUGAAUAAGCACCGGCUAACUCCGUGCCAGCAGCCGCGGUAAUACGGGGGGUGCAAGCGUUACUCGGAAUCACUGGGCGUAAAGAGAAUGUAGGCGGGUAAUUAAGUUGGAAGUGAAAUCCUAUGGCUCAACUAUAGAACUGCUUCCAAAACUGAUUAUCUAGAAUAUGGGAGAGGUAGAUGGAAUUUCUGGUGUAGGGGUAAAAUCCGUAGAGAUCAGAAGGAAUACCGAUUGCGAAGGCGAUCUACUGGAACAUUAUUGACGCUGAGAUUCGAAAGCGUGGGGAGCAAACAGGAUUAGAUACCCUGGUAGUCCACGCCCUAAACGAUGCACACUAGUUGUUGCUAUACUAGAUAUAGCAGUAAUGCAGUUAACACAUUAAGUGUGCCGCCUGGGGAGUACGGUCGCAAGAUUAAAACUCAAAGGAAUAGACGGGGACCCGCACAAGCGGUGGAGCAUGUGGUUUAAUUCGACGAUACGCGAAGAACCUUACCUGGCCUUGACAUAGACAGAAUUUAGUAGAGAUAUAAAAGUGCCAGUUUACUGGAGCUGUUAUACAGGUGCUGCACGGCUGUCGUCAGCUCGUGUCGUGAGAUGUUGGGCUAAAUCCCGCAACGAGCGCAACCCACGUCAUUAGUUACUAACGGUUCGGCCGAGGACUCUAAUGAGACUGCCUGGGUAACCAGGAGGAAGGUGUGGACGACGUCAAGUCAUCAUGGCCCUUACGGCCAGGGCUACACACGUGCUACAAUGGGGUAUACAGAGAGCAGCGAUACCGCGAGGUGGAGCAAAUCUUUAAAAUAUCUCCCAGUUCGGAUAGCACUCUGCAACUCGAGUGCUCGAAGUUGGAAUCGCUAGUAAUCGUAGAUCAGCAAUGCUACGGUGAAUACGUUCCCGGGUCUUGUACUCACCGCCCGUCACACCAUGGGAAUUGAAUUCAUUCGAAGCGGGGAUGCUAA
rnacentral:rRNA from 1 species